GUGCUUGCUUCAGUAGCACAUAUACUAAAACUGGAACAAUGCAGAGAAGAUUAGCAUGGCCCCUGUACAAAGAUGACAUGCAAAUUUGUGAAGCAUUUCAUAAUUUG